rnacentral:rRNA from 1 species
UACGGGGGGAGCAAGCGUUGUUCGGAGUUACUGGGCGUAAAGGGUGUGUAGGCGGUUUUCUAAGUUUGGUGUGAAAUCUCCCGGCUCAACCGGGAGGGUGCGCCGAAAACUGGGAGACUAGAGUGCGGGAUGGGAGAGUAGAAUUCCUGGUGUAGCGGUGAAAUGCGCAGAUAUCAGGAGGAACACCAGUGGCGAAGGCGGCUUCCUGGCCUGCAACUGACGCUGAGACGCGAAAAGCGUGGGGGAGCGAACCGG